CCUUAAAAUAGGAUAAUCUUUAACGUUUUCUCUAUUCAGAGAACAAGUAGAAUAUGAUGAUUGGAAUUUGCAUGAUUCACAAUUAAUGUCUCUGUGCAAUGAGGUCUCACAACACCCUAAUUGCUCGUAUCUUAU
ensembl:snoRNA U8 U8 small nucleolar RNA